AUUAAAUUCAAGAGUACCCCCAGUUCGUAUGAAGGCUCGCAAAAUUGCAUUAGCUCUCAGACCAAAAAUAGAUGCUGAGAUUACAUGUCUUGUGGAACAAGGUAUACUUGAACCCGUGUACACCCAUAGUUCCGGACAUUAAACCAAAUGGGGAUAUCAGAAUAUGUACUGACUACAAAUGUACAAUCAACAAAGCGUUGCAAGAGCAUCCCUAUCAAAUUCCAGCUGUUAAUCAAAUUCUUACUACUUUGGCAAAAGGAAAAGUAUUUGCCAAGUUGGAUAUGGCUCAAGCCUACCAGCAGUUACCUGUGGAUGAUGAGGCUGCUG